rnacentral:rRNA from 1 species
CCUACGGGAGGCAGCAGUGAGGAAUAUUGGUCAAUGGACGAGAGUCUGAACCAGCCAAGUAGCGUGAAGGAUGACUGCCCUAUGGGUUGUAAACUUCUUUUAUAUGGGAAUAAAACAGGGUAUGCAUACCCUCUUGUAUGUACCAUAUGAAUAAGGAUCGGCUAACUCCGUGCCAGCAGCCGCGGUAAUACGGAGGAUCCGAGCGUUAUCCGGAUUUAUUGGGUUUAAAGGGAGCGUAGGUGGAUUGUUAAGUCAGUUGUGAAAGUUUGCGGCUCAACCGUAAAAUUGCAGUUGAAACUGGCAGUCGUGAGUACAGUAGAGGUGAGCGGAAUUCGUGGUGUAGCGGUGAAAUGCUUAGAUAUCACGAAGAACUCCGAUUGCGAAGGCAGCUCACUGGACUGCAACUGACACUGAUGCUCGAAAGUGUGGGUAUCAAACAGGAUUAGAUACCCCAGUAGUC